UACGGAGGGGGCUAGCGUUGUUCGGAAUUACUGGGCGUAAAGCGCACGUAGGCGGCUUUGUAAGUCAGAGGUGAAAUCCCGGGGCUCAACUCCGGAACUGCCUUUGAGACUGCAUCGCUUGAAUCCAGGAGAGGUGAGUGGAAUUCCGAGUGUAGAGGUGAAAUUCGUAGAUAUUCGGAAGAACACCAAUGGCGAAGGCGGCUCACUGGACUGGUAUUGACGCUGAGGUGCGAAAGCGUGGGGAGCAAACAGG
rnacentral:rRNA from 1 species